UACGUAGGUGGCGAGCGUUGUCCGGAAUCACUGGGCGUAAAGGGCGCGUAGGCGGCGCGGGUAGUCAUCGGUGAAAGUUCAGGGCUCAACUCUGAAUCGGCCGGUGAUACUCUCGUGCUUGAGCACUGUAGAGGCAGGUGGAAUUCCGGGUGUAGCGGUGGAAUGCGUAGAGAUCCGGAAGAACACCGGUGGCGAAGGCGGCCUGCUGGGCAGUAGCUGACGCUGAUGCGCGACAGCGUGGGGAGCAAACAGG
rnacentral:rRNA from 1 species